rnacentral:lncRNA from 1 species
AUGGCAUCUGAAACCCACAAUGUUAAAAAGCAGAACUUUUGAAAUAAUAUUCAGGAUCAUUUAAUUGAUGGACCUAGGAAAAGGAUUUCUAAUUUCAUUAAUAAGAACAAGAAGGAAGUUAAGAAACCUCAACAGUUAGCUGCUUAUAUAAAUAGAACAGUUGGACGAACUGUCAAAAGUCCAGAUAAAACUAGGGUAAGGUAAUCUUUCAUAGAAAGUUAGUUCAUUAUCCCUUUCCAAACCUCUGUUAUAGGAAAAACAAAACAAACAAAAAAACACAGUCCCCUAGAAGUGGGGCUGUGACGUGGCAAAUAAAGAAAAUGAACUGGUUUGUGCAGGCCACCUGCCUGAAAAAUUAUGCCAGAGUAGGCAAAUAUAUUUGCUUAACCCCAGUGAUUCCAAUUUUUCACAGAUAUAAAGCCCAUCAUCACAAUACAGUCAGUAUUUUUCGCAAGUUUCUCAGGAUCAUGAAACAAAUGGCCCAAGUUUUGCUCAGCAGGAAUUUGAAACUGAAUGUAUCUUUAACUUUCUGGAGAAAGAAGUAUACGUGAAUUUGCAGCUUGUUUGGUGAGAAUAGAAGAUCUUGGCAUUGAGGUAGAUUGCCUUCCUGUGCUCACCAGUAGUUUACAGGGAGAAAAACAAUAUAUCUUACUUGAACGCUGGGUAGGCUCGUUGCCUCUAGUAAACUCACUAUGUAAAAGCAAAUUUGAAAAAUACCUAACAGUUGGUUUAAACUGGCUUCAAGCAGUCAUUAAAAGGUGGUGGUCAGAACUAUUGUCCAAAACAGAAAUUAUAAAUAAUGGAAACAUUCAGAUUUUAAAACAACAGUUAAAUGGAUUGUUAGAACAGGAAAACCACCUUACUUUGGUUCCAGGAUAUACUGGUAAUAUAGCUAAGGAAGUAGAUGCUUAUUUAUUA